CUGGUUCCCUUUAGAAAUAUAAGGAUGAUGUCGACGAGCUCACAUGGCAGCUGCAGCAACAGACCUUGGCUAAGAUGCCCACAGCAACCUUCGUGUCCAACUUUGCCGAUGAAACAAGUGAGCCAAUAGAAUCAUCGCCACCUCCUGUCGAUAAUGCUGUCACGCCAAUUAUGACCAAGAGGAAACGGACUCGAGGACAUGCAUGGUCUACCAAAAAAAAUGCAAGAAGCCACCAAAAGAAGCCACUAAAAGCAAUGCUACACCAAUAAAAAAGCAGAAAAAAAAGAAGAAGCGGGAACACAUAAAAAUUGGACGCACAAAAAGAGCCACCGGAUAACGACCAGGAAGUACCACCAGGUUUCGUACAGUCCUUGAAAAGUCCUUGAAUUUGAGGUAACUCUCCCGUUCUCACGGACGAACAGAUGGCAGCGAUAAGCGCACGAUACGCAAAACCUCCGCGCACAUCCACACCAGAUGGAGCCACCGACGACUCCACUACUCCGAAACCAGAAGCCAACAAAAAUUGCAGCCGCAGAAACGAGAAGCGAUUCUGGAAAUGAAAUCGUGCGGAUCGUUAGGAAAUUUUUUAAGAAAUUUUUUAAUUUUGAAGAUACGAGAAUUGCUAAGAACAACGGUGAGGUUCAUGUAAAAUGUAUUUGUAAUGUAUUAGGAGUCGAGGGA